rnacentral:rRNA from 1 species
AUUGAACGCUGGCGGCGGGCCUAACACAUGCAAGUCGAACGAGUGGCGGACGGGUGAGUAAUGUCUGGGAAACUGCCUGAUGGAGGGGGAUAACUACUGGAAAAGGUAGCUAAUACCGCUUAACGUCAUUUGUGCCCAGAUGGGAUUAGCUUGUUGGUGGGGUAACGGCUCACCAAGGCGACGCUCCCUAGCUGGUCUGAGAGGAUGACCAGCCACACUGGAACUGAGACACGGCCCAGACUCCUACGGGAGGCAGCAGUGGGGAAUAUUGCACAAUGGGCGCAAGCCUGAUGCAGCAAUGCCGCGUGUAUGAAGAAGGCCUUCGGGUUGUAAAGUACUGUCAUCGGGGAGGCGUUACCCGAAGAAGAAGCACCGGCUAACUCCGUGCCAGCAGCCGCGGUAAUAC